CCUACGGGUGGCAGCAGUGGGGAAUAUUGGACAAUGGGGGGAACCCUGAUCCAGCCAUGCCGCGUGUGUGAAGAAGGCCCUCGGGUUGUAAAGCACUUUCAGUGAGGAAGAACGCCUGGUGGUUAAUACCCAUCAGGAAAGACAUCACUCACAGAAGAAGCACCGGCUAACUCCGUGCCAGCAGCCGCGGUAAUACGGAGGGUGCGAGCGUUAAUCGGAAUUACUGGGCGUAAAGCGCGCGUAGGUGGCUUGAUAAGCCGGUUGUGAAAGCCCCGGGCUCAACCUGGGAACGGCAUCCGGAACUGUCAAGCUAGAGUGCAGGAGAGGAAGGUAGAAUUCCCGGUGUAGCGGUGAAAUGCGUAGAGAUCGGGAGGAAUAACAGUGGCGAAGGCGGCCUUCUGGACUGACACUGACACUGAGGUGCGAAAGCGUGGGUAGCAAACAGGAUUAGAUACCCUGGUAGUC
rnacentral:rRNA from 1 species